UAGGGAAAUAUUUUAGGUUUGGUGUGAGGGUCCAGUUUAAGACUAUCUGAGGCGGUUUUAGAAUUACCAUCAGCAUUUGGAGGUUCCUGGAGGCCCCUGUGAUCUGAUACAAGCUGGCCAGUGCUCAGGCUCUUAAUUCUCAUGGCAACCUAAACUGACUGACUAACACCACUGGGACAACCUAAUAUCCUUACUAUAUUUAAAGUCUGGCAGGCGCCCGCCACCACGCCCAGCUAAUUUUUUUAUUUUUAGUAGAGACGGGGUUUUCACCGUGGUCUCGNNNNNNNNNNUAGUAGAG
rnacentral:lncRNA from 1 species